CUUGGUUCAGGACGAACGCUGGCGGCGUGCCUAAUACAUGCAAGUCGAACGGUCUUUCUAUGGAAGCUUGCUUCCACUGAGAAGAUAGUGGCGAACGGGUGAGUAACACGUGGGUAACCUGCCCAUAAGAGGGGGAUAACAUCCGGAAACGGGUGCUAAUACCGCAUAGUUUUCUUGAUCGCAUGAUUGAGAAAGGAAAGACGGCCUUUGUGCUGUCGCUUAUGGAUGGACCCGCGGCGUAUUAGUUAGUUGGUGAGGUAAUGGCUCACCAAGACGAUGAUACGUAGCCGACCUGAGAGGGUGAUCGGCCACAUUGGGACUGAGACACGGCCCAAACUCCUACGGGAGGCAGCAGUAGGGAAUCUUCCGCAAUGGACGAAAGUCUGACGGAGCAACGCCGCGUGAGUGAAGAAAAGGUUUUCGGAUCGUAAAACUCUGUUGUCAGAGAAGAACAAGUUGGAGAGUAACUGCUCCAGCCUUGACGGUAUCUGACCAGAAAGCCACGGCUAACUACGUGCCAGCAGCCGC
rnacentral:rRNA from 1 species